ACGAAGUUCAGUAUGAAUAGAGCGUUCUACAAAAUUUGUUAAAAACGUUCUAUUCGUAAACUUCCCGCAAACAACAAAGUAUGAAUAUCUACAAAAUUUGUCCGAAUUAAUCUUCAAUCUCCAGUGAUUUUGGCCGAAAUCUUCAAUCGUAAUCUUCAAUCGAACAUUGAAAGGGAACCGUUCAUCUUCACUACAAGUUUUAGGGUUUUUCGCAGAUUUUUCUUCGCAAUUUUGGACGUUUGGACGUUUCUCGCAGAUUUUUCUUCGCAAUUUCCCAAUUCGAUCUCAUCUUCAGGUGCCAUGUGCCAUGGAGGUACUAUUGUGAUGGAAUCUCCUUCGACAUAUCUCUUUGUUCUGCAGUUUAUCAGCACAUGACAACUUUGGCUCGAAGCCAGUGUGGAAUUGUUAUCAAGUGAUUGUAUAAAUGUUAGUUCACUUGAGCAUUUUUGAUGAGUUCACUUUUCAUCUUUUUAUUUCCUUUUCUUGACAUGUGUUGAGGUAGCUAUAUAUUUGACCCUAAACUUCCUACACUAUAAUUUAGAUGAAUAAAUUAUUUUAGUA